GAUGAACGCUGGCGGCGUGCCUAAUACAUGCAAGUCGAGCGAACAGACGAGGAGCUUGCUCCUCUGACGUUAGCGGCGGACGGGUGAGUAACACGUGGAUAACCUACCUAUAAGACUGGGAUAACUUCGGGAAACCGGAGCUAAUACCGGAUAAUAUAUUGAACCGCAUGGUUCAAUAGUGAAAGACGGUUUUGCUGUCACUUAUAGAUGGAUCCGCGCCGCAUUAGCUAGUUGGUAAGGUAACGGCUUACCAAGGCAACGAUGCGUAGCCGACCUGAGAGGGUGAUCGGCCACACUGGACCUGAGACACGGUCCAGACUCCUACGGGGGCAGCAGUAGGGAAUCUUCCGCAAUGGGCGAAAGCCUGACGGAGCAACGCCGCGUGAGUGAUGAAGGUCUUCGGAUCGUAAAACUCUGUUAUUAGGGAAGAACAAAUGUGUAAGUAACUAUGCACGUCUUGACGGUACCUAAUCAGAAAGCCACGGCUAACUACGUG
rnacentral:rRNA from 1 species